rnacentral:rRNA from 1 species
AGUGAACGCUGGCGGUAGGCCUAACACAUGCAAGUCGAACGGCAGCACAGUAAGAGCUUGCUCUUACGGGUGGCGAGUGGCGGACGGGUGAGGAAUACAUCGGAAUCUACUUUUUCGUGGGGGAUAACGUAGGGAAACUUACGCUAAUACCGCAUACGACCUACGGGUGAAAGCAGGGGAUCUUCGGACCUUGCGCGAUUGAAUGAGCCGAUGUCGGAUUAGCUAGUUGGCGGGGUAAAGGCCCACCAAGGCGACGAUCCGUAGCUGGUCUGAGAGGAUGGUCGGCCACACUAGAGCUGAGACACGGUCCAGACUCCUACGGGAGGCAGCAGUGGGGAAUAUUGGACAAUGGGCGCAAGCCUGAUACAGCCAUACCGCGUGGGUGAAGAAGGCGUUCGGGUUGUAAAGCCCUUUUGUUGGGAAAGAAAAGCAGCAGGUUAAUACGCCGCUGUUCUGACGGUACCCAAAGAAUAAGCACCGGCUAACUUCGUG